GCAUGGGUAGUUCAGUAGUAGAAUUCUUGCCUGCCAGGCAGGAGGCACGGGUUUGAUUCCCGGCCCAUGCA
rnacentral:tRNA from 1 species